UCGUCGCCGGCGAGCGCGUCGCUCGACGCGUUGUAGUCGCGGCGGGCCGCGUCGUACUCGGCGGCGGCGGCGACC
rnacentral:tRNA from 1 species